UACGUAGGGGGCAAGCGUUGUCCGGAAUCAUUGGGCGUAAAGCGCGCGUAGGCGGCCCGGUAAGUCCGCUGUAAAAGUCCAGGGCUCAACCCUGGAAAGCCGGUGGAUACUGUCGGGCUAGAGUCCGGAAGAGGCGAGUGGAAUUCCUGGUGUAGCGGUGGAAUGCGCAGAUAUCAGGAGGAACACCAGUGGCGAAGGCGGCGACCUGGACGGACACGUGACGCUGAGACGCGAAAGCGUGGGGAGCAAACAGG
rnacentral:rRNA from 1 species